rnacentral:rRNA from 1 species
GACGAACGCUGGCGGCGUGCUUAACACAUGCAAGUCGAACGGAAAGGCCCUGCUUUUGUGGGGUGCUCGAGUGGCGAACGGGUGAGUAACACGUGAGUAACCUGCCCUUGACUUUGGGAUAACUUCAGGAAACUGGGGCUAAUACCGGAUAGGAGCUCCUGCUGCAUGGUGGGGGUUGGAAAGUUUCGGCGGUUGGGGAUGGACUCGCGGCUUAUCAGCUUGUUUGUGGGGUAGUGGCUUACCAAGGCUUUGACGGGUAGCCGGCCUGAGAGGGUGAACGGGCACAUUGGGACUGAGAUACGGACCAGACUCCUACGGGAGGCAGCAGUGGGGAAUAUUGCACAAUGGGCGGAAGCCUGAGGCAGAAACGCCGCGUGCGGGAUGACGGCCUUCGGGUUGUAAACCGCUUUCGACUGUGACGAAGCGUGAGUGACGGUAAUGGGUAAAGAAGCACCGGCUAACUACGUG